rnacentral:rRNA from 1 species
UACGAAGGGGGCUAGCGUUGUUCGGAAUCACUGGGCGUAAAUGGCGCGUAGGCGGCUUUAUAAGUCGGGGGUGAAAGCCUGUGGCUCAACCACAGAAUUGCCUUCGAUACUGUAGAGCUUGAGACCGGAAGAGGUAAGUGGAACUGCGAGUGUAGAGGUGAAAUUCGUAGAUAUUCGCAAGAACACCAGUGGCGAAGGCGGCUUACUGGUCCGGUUCUGACGCUGAGGCGCGAAAGCGUGGGGAGCAAACAGG